GCGUUCUUGUGUUAUUUAUUGAUUGCUUCAUCAAAUCAAUAAUUGUCAAAAAGAACGCAAAUUAAUUUUGGGACAACAACUCGUUAUUGUUUAUACGAAUUAUAAAAGUAUCAACAUAUUCCAUUUGUUGUCUACAAUA